rnacentral:lncRNA from 1 species
GAUGCCAUAAGUAGAUCUUGAAGCUUAGGGACUAUGUCGUACGAUACAAUGUUGAACACACCAUCAAGGUGAACGGACUUCUUAGUGUUUGAAGGCACCACUUUAAAUCCUGCCUUAUUUGAACCACCCCAUUGAGAUAAAACCACUUGUUCCAUUGCACCUUUUUCCAAGCCAUCAGCAUGGUGUUGCAAAGAUGGUGUGACGUUGUUCUUUGUACCUUCUUUCUCCAAAAUCUCUAGAGAUGUUCCCUCCACCAAUUUAUUACCAAGC